rnacentral:rRNA from 1 species
GGAGGAAAAGAAACUAACAAGGAUUCCCCUAGUAACUGCGAGUGAAGAGGGAAAAGCUCAAAUUUAAAAUCUGGCAGCUUCGCUGUCCGAGUUGUAAUUUAGAGAAGUGUUACCCGCGUUGGACCGUGUAUAAGUCUCCUGGAAUGGAGCGUCAUAGAGGGUGAGAAUCCCGUCUUUGACACGGACUACCAAGGCAUUGUGGUGCGCUCUCGAAGAGUCGAGUUGUUUGGGAAUGCAGCUCUAAAUGGGUGGUAAAUUCCAUCUAAAGCUAAAUAUUGGCGAGAGACCGAUAGCGAACAAGUACCGUGAGGGAAAGAUGAAAAGAACUUUGGAAAGAGAGUUAAACAGUACGUGAAAUUGCUGAAAGGGAAACGCUUGAAGUCAGUCGCGUUGGCCAGGGAUCAGCCUUGCUUUUGUGAGGUGUACUUCCUGGUUGACGGGUCAGCAUCAGUUUCGACCAUUGGAAAAAGGCUUGGGGAAUGUGGCACCUUCGGGUGUGUUAUAGCCCCUUGUCGUAUACAGUGGUUGGGACUGAGGAACUCAGCACGCCGCAAGGCCGGGUUUCGACCACGUUCGUGCUUAGGAUGCUGGCAAAAUGGCUUUAAGCGACCCGUC